AUUUAAAUAGUUUAAGGAGAAAAUAUUGAUUUGUGGGGUCAAGGAUGUAAAUAAUUACUUUAGAUA
rnacentral:tRNA from 1 species